GCAAUAUAUAUGUAAAGCACUGCGUAAAUUGACGGGGCUAUAUAAGUACCUGAAAUAAAUAAUUAAAAUCUAUUAAUUAUAUACUAUAGUCAACAGUUAUGGCUGAGCUAAUAACACUUCUUGCAACAUAUUACAUUUUUAUUUUUUGUUUUAGGUUAUUGUGGAGCAGAACAUCCAAUUACUUUCAGCCUACUAACAGCCUGAAGAAGAGCCAUGGAGGCUGAAGCGUCAUUGCAUUUUUUUCAUUAAAUUGUUUAAAUAGAUUAUUAAAAUCUCUAUUCCUUGGUGUGGUCACAUUGUCUAAUACACUGGAUUUCUGGUAGGAAUGUGACAGUCAGCUGAUGUGCCCUGGCAUGGACAGCAGCGUGUGAAGUCAUUGCCGCAAGAAAAGAGAAUGGCACGGUUGCAUGACGAUAAACUGGAUCACUUGAGCGCUUUCUAGUCUUCCCACAGUAUAUUCAGCCCUUUAUGUGGUAAUUGAUCCAGCUCCCCUGUGUUCUAAGCUUGUAGCUGAAGAUUCUACCACACCUCUUGUCUGGUGACAACAUUAGAUAGAGAAAAUUCCUGGACUGCCGCACUCCUUGAAACAAUGUCUUUAUUCAGCAAAAAAACUUUAAAAACACAAAACAACCAAAAACAGUGCAGUCAAAAAGGAGAGGUGGACAAAAGGAAAAAGGUGGCUGACAUGUUUCACAUCUUUCGAUGCUUAGUCGUAGCUGGUGACAACAUUGAAGAAAUCGCUACAAGACCACAGACAGCUAGAAAAAGUCCAACUUUGAACUGGCUAUAGACAGGUCUUUUUUUUUUUUCAUUCAGCCUGAUUCCUCUAUUCAAACAAUAGAGGUGGAUGGAGAAACCCCCCCACCGGGACUUUGUAUUCUGACAGUGGGAUGCGCUACUGUCAGAAUACACUGAUUGACAAAGGUUUUCCAACAUUUCAAACAAUCAACUUCUGUCGAACAGGGAUGGCUUCACACUGAGAAAUUUUGAUCCUUCUAUGGCCAGCUUAACUUUCUUUCUUCACUUUUCCUAAAACAAAAAAAAAAAUGUUUGGUUUACAAACUCGCACAUAUAGUUAAUCUCAGUAAUAAAAGGCUACAAACCUAAA